GGGGGAAUAUUGCACAAUGGGGGAAACCCUGAUGCAGCGACGCCGCGUGAGCGAUGAAGUAUUUCGGUAUGUAAAGCUCUAUCAGCAGGGAAGAAAAAAGACGGUACCUGACUAAGAAGCACCGGCUAAAUACGUGCCAGCAGCCGCGGUAAUACGUAUGGUGCAAGCGUUAUCCGGAUUUACUGGGUGUAAAGGGAGCGUAGACGGUCUGGCAAGUCUGAUGUGAAACCCGGGGCUCAACCCCGGGACUGCAUUGGAAACUGUUAGACUAGAGUGUCGGAGAGGUAAGUGGAAUUCCUAGUGUAGCGGUGAAAUGCGUAGAUAUUAGGAGGAACACCAGUGGCGAAGGCGGCUUACUGGACGAUGACUGACGUUGAGGCUCGAAAGCGUGGGGAGCAAACA
rnacentral:rRNA from 1 species